GCUUGGUAGGGGCGGGGCCUCAGGCCACGUGACCCUGGGAGCCCGGUUCGCCUUGUGUCUCCCAGAGCUAGCGCGCGGACUUGGAGAAGUCACGAUGUUGCCGGUCUCGGUCUGUGAAGCUGGCCUCGUCUUAAAGCUCCUGAAGACUGAAACCGUGGCGUAUGAAUCUUUGCCACUCUUGUUCUCCGUCCAACGACCAGGCAAUGACUUAUUAUUGGAAUGACAGCAUUGACCAUCACAGUAAGAGUGCUGGGGAUUCAACCCAGGGCUUCACACAUUGUGGGAAAACUAAGAGAAUCUGUACAAAGUAAGAGAAUUACCUAAAUGAAACUGAAUCCAGGAAGUCUUCUUUGGCGGAUUUCCCAGUACAGCAGUGACAGCCUGAACAGAAGACUAGGAUACUACAAAUUCUAAUUCAAUCGUGAGUAAGAGCUUUGUCUAGGAAGAAUAAAGGAAAUACAAAGAUGCCAACCUAAGACUGCUGUUCCUGGACACUGUCCUGUUAAGAAUUUACAAAGAGGAUUAGUUCUCAUUAUAAAUAACAGAUAUGAACAGGUAUUUUUACAUUGUCACUGAGAUGACAACUCCUAUGAAUGAUUUAAGAUAGUGGAUUAACAUCACACUAUAGUGACACAGCCACAUCAAUGUUUGUAGCAGAUCAAUUCACAAUAGUUAAGCAAUGGAACUAGCCUAGGUGCCCUUCAACCGAUGAAUGGACACCAAAAAUGUGGUGUAUACACAG